rnacentral:rRNA from 1 species
CCUACGGGAGGCUGCAGUGGGGAAUAUUGGACAAUGGGGGCAACCCUGAUCCAGCCAUGCCGCGUGUGUGAAGAAGGCCCUCGGGUUGUAAAGCACUUUCAGUGAGGAAGAACGCCUGGUGGUUAAUACCCAUCAGGAAAGACAUCACUCACAGAAGAAGCACCGGCUAACUCCGUGCCAGCAGCCGCGGUAAUACGGAGGGUGCGAGCGUUAAUCGGAAUUACUGGGCGUAAAGCGCGCGUAGGUAGCUUGAUAAGCCGGUUGUGAAAGCCCCGGGCUCAACCUGGGAACGGCAUCCGGAACUGUCAAGCUAGAGUGCAGGAGAGGAAGGUAGAAUUCCCGGUGUAGCGGUGAAAUGCGUAGAGAUCGGGAGGAAUACCAGUGGCGAAGGCGGCCUUCUGGACUGACACUGACACUGAGGUGCGAAAGCGUGGGUAGCAAACAGGAUUAGAUACCCCGGUAGUC